ACUGCUGAAUAGCUAAAGGGCUCAGACAGGCAAGAAUAUUGUGAGGUGGUUAAGUCCAUGAACUUGGAGUUAGACCCCUUGGGGUCUAGGCUUGAUUUGUGACUUUUUAGCUGUGUGAUCUCCAGCAUGUUUUUAAACUUGUGUUUUUGGGAUGUUUGGAUUAGAUAGUACAUGGAAAGUGCUUGUGUUUAGGCUAAGAAUCUGGUUAUUUUUGCAUUUUUUGGCGGUGAUUGAGGAAGGGGGGAGCAAUUCGAGGGUGAUUUAUCCACAGAAUAUGAAGUCUGAGGUUUCUGCUCUGACAAGAGGAAAUGUCUAACAGCAGAAGACAAAAGUGAAACCGGGCUGAUGCGAAUCACUGGGAAACUGGCUUUGGCACCUCCAGAGAAUGAACUGUUUCAUAGCCUAGCUGACCAUCCAUGAAAAUGGCUGCCUGGAGAGGCAGUGAUCAGCCCAUCCCUGCAGGGUGAAGAUAAGCUUGUGCAGGCCACUGGCUAACACAGUUCAUCCCAUGCCUCCUACAUACCAAGCACUGUGCCAGGCACUUUUCACGUCUGGCAUCCUCAGAAUCCUCCAAAAGGUCGGAUUCAGACAAUCCGGUGGAGCACUCUGAAAUUUAGAGGAAGUGGUCAAAUAGAAUUUUCUGGAAUUAUGGAAAUCUUCUAUUCUGUGCAUCUAGUAUAGUAGAAUCUAGUCACAUGUGGCUUUUGAGAACUGGAAAUAUGGCUAAUGCAACAGAGAAAGUGAAUUUUUACUUUUGAUUCAUUUAAAUAUAAAUGGUCACAUAUGACAUCACUGCCAUAUUGGACAUUGCAGUUCUGGAAGAUGGCAGAUGCAGCCCUCAGAAGAAUUAUCAGCCUGAAUGUCUGGGCGGAGCAGAGCACUACCUUCCCACUCACUCUUCCCCUCCUCUCGCCCCCUCCCCUGCCUCACUUGCAUCAGAUUAUGAUGUGAGCAAAAGCAGGAAACAGCUCUUUUGAUAGGCCUGUGAGACUUGCUGUUCGUUGGAGUAGCUAGGCUGCUCUGACUCAUACAGACCCAAAUCCUGGCAACCACUUUUAUGAAGAAAUGACAAUUCAGUCUACUACUUGUCCAUUUUACAUGCCCAAGGAAUGUGAGGGGCCUCUGCUUGGAUCUAGUUUUCAACCUAGUCUAUGGCAUUGAUUAUCCUUUUAAAAGACAAAAGAGGUGACUUCACGGGCACUUAACAUCUUGGCCAUACUGACCCCAGUUGCACGCUACGUAGGAAGUUUUAGUCCAUUUAAACUGAAGUUCCAAUUUUUUUUUUAACAACUAUUUAAAAAUUGUACAUGUCCCAUACAUGACAGAGAAAGGGUUGUCUGGUUGGAUGAUUUUUGGCUUGCAAAAAGAGAACACAAAAGAAAAGCAUACGUUUUAAUACUCAAGAGACCAAAUUUUCUGCUGAAGAGGAAAUGAACUACAUAUCCAGAAGGGUCCUACCAAGAGGCCAAACAGACUGUGUUCUCUUGGGGGAGUUCUCAGUGGUGAUGAGAACACCACUUUUUUUUUUUUUUUAGUCAUUUUCAAGGUGAGAUAUUGACUUGCUGCUGGAGCAGGACAACUGGUCUCUCUUUCAUUGCUAGCAGCAGAGUAAGGGUCUUGCAAGUUUCAGGCAGCAGCAGAGAAAGGGUCUUGCAAGUUUCAGUCCAAAGCAAGAAGAGCUAGGAUUGCACCAGCUGUCUCACCUACUCUGUGCUCACCUGUUUCUGGAUGAAGCACGGUGACAUCUGUUUUAUUGUAAAGAGAACCAACUUUGGAAUCAAAUGGAACCUGUAUUAAAAUCCUGAAUCCGUCACUAGCUUGGACAAGUCACUUCACUUCUCUGAACCUUGUUUUAUUCCAGUUAAGAAUAAUAGUAAGCCAGUCCCACAGAGCUGUAGCAAGGUUAAAAUGAAUGGUUGUCUGUAGAAGCAUUUAAAAUAGGGCUUCAUACAGAGCCAGUACCUGGGGAGACUGAGGGUUUGAACCACAUAGUUCCACUCUGGCAAAUCACAGAGGGGCUGUAGGAUGGUCCUUUAAGGGGGAUGUGUUAUGGGUUAAUUGGAACAGUGCUUCUUAAACUCCAGUGUGCAUUCAUAUUGCUUAGGGGUUUUGUUUAAAUGCAGAUUCUGAGUUACUAGGAUUAUGCAAUUUGAAUGAGCUUGCAGAUAAUUUCAUGGCUGCUGGUCUCUGACAUCACCUUUGAGAAGCAAAG
rnacentral:lncRNA from 1 species